UUUAAGUGCAGUUCUAAUUUUCUGUGUCUAACUUGUGACCGUUCGUCUUAUUUGAAUUUUUUUAUGAUUAAUAUUUUUUAUUAUUAUUGGAUGAUAAAAUAUGGAUAAUACCUCAUGUGCGAUUUUUUUUUAAAUUUUUUUCAUAAUUUUUUUUAAAUAUGACGGAUGGUUAAAUGUUGGACACCAAAACCCACAAUAACACUUCAA
rfam:Oryza sativa (indica cultivar-group) chromosome 7, whole genome shotgun sequence.